AUUGAACGCUGGCGGCAGGCCUAACACAUGCAAGUCGAGCGAGCGGCGGACGGGUGAGUAAUGUAUGGGGACUGCCUGAUGGCGGGGGAUAACUACUGGAAACGGUAGCCAAUACCGCAGUCCAUCAGAUGAUCCAUAUGGGAUUAGCUAGUGGGUGGGGUAAUGGCUCACCUAGGCGACGAUCCCUAGCUGGUAUGAGAGGAUGAUCAGCCACACUGAGACUGAGACACGGCCCAGACUCCUACGGAGGCAGCAGUGGUGAAUAUUGCACAAUGGGCGCAAGCCUGAUGCAGACACGCCGCGUGUGUGAAGAAGGCCUUCGGGUUGUAAAGUACUUUCAGUCGGGAGGCGUUACCAACAGAAGAAGCACCGGCUAACUCCGUGCCAGCCGCCGCGGUAAUAC
rnacentral:rRNA from 1 species